rnacentral:tRNA from 1 species
GGUUGCAUAGUCUAGUGGUUAUGAUAUCUGCUUUACACGCAGAGGGUCCCAAGUUCGAACCUUGGUGCAGCCA